rnacentral:rRNA from 1 species
UACAGAGGGUGCGAGCGUUAAUCGGAAUUACUGGGCGUAAAGCGUGCGUAGACGGUUAUUUAAGUCGGGUGUGAAAGCCCCGGGCUCAACCUGGGAAUUGCAUUCGAGACUGAAUAGCUAGGGUACGGUAGAGGGAAGUGGAAUUUCCGGUGUAGCGGUGAAAUGCGUAGAUAUCGGAAGGAACAUCAGUGGCGAAAGCGACUUCCUGGACCAGUACCGACGUCAGGCACGAAAGCGUGGGGAGCAAACA